rnacentral:snRNA from 1 species
GUGUUUGCUUAAGUAGCACAUACACUAAAAUUGGAACCAUACAGAGAAGAUUAGCAUGGCCCCUGCACAAAGAUGACAUGCAAAUUCAUGAAGCAUUCCAUAUUUUU